AGAGAGUCUAAUGCUGGAGCUGGCUAGAAAACCUCAUUCUACUUUUGGUCUAAAGAUUUUACUUAUAAUUUAACGGGCCCGUGGAGCUGAACGGCCGUCAUCCUAGAACACACUGCGCUCAGCUGCUGUCUGCAGCUCUUCACGAAAGCUUCUUCCCUCUGCCUCCUGGCUGGCUACAAACACAAAGUGCUGG